AUGCAAGUCGAGCGAAUGGAUUGAGAGCUUGCUCUCAAGAAGUUAGCGGCGGACGGGUGAGUAACACGUGGGUAACCUGCCCAUAAGACUGGGAUAACUCCGGGAAACCGGGGCUAAUACCGGAUAACAUUUUGAACUGCAUGGUUCGAAAUUGAAAGGCGGCUUCGGCUGUCACCUUAUGGAUGGACCCGCCGUCGCAUUAGCUAGUUGGUGAGGUAACGGCUCACCAAGGCAACCGAUGCCGUAGCCGACCUGAGAGGGUGAUCGGGCCACACUGGGACUGAGACACGGCCCAGACUCCUACGGGAGGCAGCAGUAGGGAAUCUUCCGCAAUGGACGAAAGUCUGACGGAGCAACCCCGCGUGAGUGAUGAAGGCUUUCGGGUCGUAAAACUCUGUUGUUAGGGAAGAACAAGUGCUAGUUGAAUAAGCUGGCCCUUGACGGUCCUAACCAGAAAGCCACGGCUACUACGCCAGCAGCCGGUAAUACGUAGGUGGCAAGCGUUUCCGAAUUUGGGCGUAAAGCGCCCCAGGUGGUUCUUAAGUCUGAUGGGAAACCCCCGGCCAACCGUGGAGGGUCAUUGGAACUGGGAGACUUGGUGCAGAAGAGAAAGUGGAUUCC
rnacentral:rRNA from 1 species